AAGAUAAUAAACUUAUGUAAAAACACGGAUCUGGAUCUCAGAUGAAAGGUUUUAAUGAAUCAGUAACACUCUCAUAGAAUUCAUUCAAAUGUCAUAUGCUUUCAUAAGUUGGUCCAGUUGUUGUGAAUUGGGAAGAAUGCUUUAUGGUGGGUGGUGACAUGUUUAAAUGUAUUUUUUAGCCUAGCACUAGAUACAGUACAUCAUGAUUAUGGAUUCAGAGCACAUAAAUAAAUCAACUUCCGUCUUCUGAUCAAACAGCUUUAGUUUUGCUCUUAACUUAUUGAUGGACAUCAUUAUUUGAUCCGAAGGAAGAUGAGUAUAGAGUAGAUCGGCACUCUUACUUGGAAAUAUCUGAGAAGUGUUGAGACCGCUUCACCCCUUAUCCCUCUAGUGUGAGUGGGUUUUAUCCCUUCAUGACCUCAUUUCAUAAUUUGCAUCCCAACCCAUUUUGUUUUGUUUACCCAUAACCCUGUGGACUAUGUGGCGUCCAUGCUGUAGAGGGAGAAGGGGAAGGAAGCAGAGCCGCAGGCCGCAAAUGCUUCCUCUAAUGGGGAUGCUGUUCACUCUAAUGAUGGUGACAUGACCUUUGACCUUCCCUCCUCUGAAGGGAACAGUCUGGUUAAGUCAGAGGGCCUCAAUUGAGAGCCACAAGCUAAAUUUCCGAGAGCAAGCCAAAGCGCGCACCGACCACGGCGCUGAGAUCGUGUGCCGGUCCCCCGACAUUUCCACGGAUGGAUCGCCCCGCCGUCUCAGCAACGUGUCUUCCUCCGGCAGCAUCAACAUGACCGACUCCCCACAACUGUCCACGCUAGCUGACCAGGUGUCAGCCUCCCUCGCUAAACAAGGCCUGUGAGCCCCCGGCCCAAACGUGUCGGCAAUUGACAAAAUGAAAAAAAAGUUACAAAUGUAUCUCCUUCAGUCCUUUCAAAUAAGGUGCUUGUCGGAUUUCUCCUAACUAAAGGUUGUCCCAUGCAGCGGCUUGUCUGCUUGUGAAAUAAUUUUACGCCUCCUGGCACAGAGAGACAGGUAUUGAUGUUAUUGGCUUAGUAUCAUGAAAAACAACAAAGAAAAAAAUUCAGUUUAAAAGGAGCUGGUGGUGUAUUGAUCCCCAAAUGGUCAUUUACAGCACUGAGUAGCCUGGUUUUGUUCGUUUUAAAACCCGUUUUUUAAAAGAACAACAAUGACAUUUGCUUUCAAAGCUGUAUUUUCUUCGUUGCCUUAUUGUGAAUGUUUUUAUUUACCAUAACUUAUGCACUCCUGUUUUGACGUGCAGCAGUAGGGAAGGCAAACAUGCUACAUGGUUUGGAAGGGUGGAGUUUAUGAUACUGGCUAUGAAUUCGAUUGGACAGAAACAUUUCAAACACUCUCUAUAGUGGAAUAGUGGAGGCAUAUUAAAAUAAAAUAGUGGCCUGCUAUAUAAUUAUUUAAAUCAAAGACAUCAGCGGGCUCCAUAGUGCAUGUUUGAUUCUUAAUGAAAGCUGUUAAACUAUCUAAACACCUCAGUUGUGUCUUUGAUCCAAAAUGAAACAGUUAAGACUUAAUGAUAAAUCAUUAUUCAGAUGAGUCUGGGAUGAUGUAAUUCUAAUAUCAUAAAUUAGAUAUUUCUGUACCAGAAUUUUGUCUGUGAAUUCUUUAAAACUGCACAUCCUCAUUCAUCUCCACAGCAGAUUCUCAAGGCUUAUCUGUCCUCGGUUGCACUGGAAGAAUGAAAUCUUCUUGCUUGGCCUCUAGUGACUCUUUUGACAAAGAAAGCAAAUGUCAAUAUACAAAAAUCAUACAAAACUUUUAAAUAAAGCUGUGUUACGGGGCUCAACAUUAAGGAUUUUUGUUCAGUCGUUCAGUUAUUCACAUUUUAAGCAACAUAUUUUGUGUCUAAAAAUACACAUUUUACUUUUGAGAUUAUCUUUAAAAAACGAUUUAAUGCAAGUAAAUUAGAAAUGCAGUGCCAUGGAAGCUAUGACAUUUGAUGUGUAGCUUUCGUUUGAAAAUAUUUGUAAAACUGUGAUUUUUAUUUUUAGCUAAAUUUAGUCUAAAAAUUAGAGACCAUUUCAGUGCAUCCAAUACAUCACUCGAAGUUUCAGUCUAUAAAACAAGAAUGAUUGUAUUGAUAAAAAAUUAUGAGACCACAUAAAAGAUGUAGUGUCGGCCUUAAACCGGCCCCGGAUCACAUUGUCAUCCUUAUUGUUGAGCUCUGAAGUAGUUUGCCCUGCACAAGCCCCAUCAAACUGAUAUCACUCGGUACUUUCUCUCAUCGUUUCCUUUAACUCAUCUCUGUACGGUUUUAAUGCUUCUGUAUUGAUGGAUUUCAGCUUCUGUAUAUAAAAUGCUGUUUCAAAGAAUGUUUGUAUGGACCAAUGCAAAAGACUUGAGAGGAUUUCAAAGCACUCAUAAAAUAACUAACAUCAUAUCAGAAAUCUCAUAUUGGGAACAGACAGCUGAAAAGUGGCACCCGGUGUCCUUCAGCUGCAUUUGAGAAAACAACGGUCUGCGUUUUUAAGAUUGUCUGUGGUCUAAGAUGGAUUGAGUCAUGUACAGCAGCACAGUGUUGAUUCAUUUGUUGCAGGACGUUUAACACAUCAGCCAAGCUCCCCUCAGUACUAAAGCCUUCAAUCCAAAGCACAACACUCUCACGCUGCACAUUCCCAGCAUGCAAUGGACUUCACCCAUGGUCUUCUUGAAUAUAGUAACCAGUCACCACAUCCCCGUCCAACUGUUUAGAAAACCACCUUUACUAGAGCGUUUUAGUCACCUUAAAACAUGCAAAGAAAGAGGGAAAAAGUGGAAGAUUAAAGGAAUUGAGCUACCUGCUAAAAUACAGGUUUAUGUUGCACACUUCUUUUUCUAAUAGUAUUGUGUAGACGAUGUAAAAGAUGUACGAAUGUGUUCAGAGGAUCUGACACUAAGCCUUUUAUUUAAUAUCCGCAUUGCAUUUGCAGCUUUAUGCUCAUUUGAAAGUGAAUGCACUGAGCUGCCUUUACACAAACUACAUUACUCAUUUAGAUGUACAUUUAGAAAGGGGUAUAAUAAGUAAAAUAGGGGGAAAUCUGCAUCUAGCAUCCACAAUACGAGUAAAGGACUUGCCUAGUGCCACAUGCAUCUCUCUCACGUGACUCUGAGAAGCUUUAGACGGAUUGCUGUAAACCCUGUAGCCGUCCUUUGAACAGCAUGCUCCGAACAUAAACCUGAGCAUUUAGACAGACGUGUGGGUUAAGCUGAAGAGCAGAAUUAUCAGAUAAAAUGUUUAAAAACUGCACUGGAUAUGGCCAUUAGCUACGUUUCAGUCGGUUCUGUCAUGUGUUGACCGCUCGCGAAGUCUCUCUCCUCAGUUUAAUUUCCCGCCUCUGCUCCUCCCUUCUCAUUGCAGUUCUUCAUUCUAGCUUGACCGUUGUGAUUGUCUUUAUCGUAAUGUGUUUUAUUAAUUGGUUUACAUUGAUACUCCUUGCUGUAAACGUGAAUUUGGAAAUAAAGUCCGUAUUAAACUGC